GAGCGCUCGUAGCAAUACGGGAGCGGCAGACGGGAGAGUAACACGUGGGAACGUACCCUUCGGUUCGGAAUAACCCAGGGAAACUUGGGCUAAUACCGGAUACGUCCGUAAGGAGAAAGAUUUAUUGCCGAGGGAUCGGCCCGCGUCCGAUUAGUUAGUUGGUGGGGUAAAGGCCUACCAAGACAAUGAUGCGUAGCCAAACUGAGAGGUUGAAUGGCCACUGGGAAACUGAGACACGGUUCCCACUCCUACGGGAGGCAGCAGUGAGGAAUAUUCCGCAAUGGGCGAAAGCCUGACGGAGCAAUGCUACGUGAAGGAUGAAGGUCUAAGGAUUGUAAACUUCUGUUCGGAGGGAAGAAAAAAAUGACAUUACCUCCGGAGAAAGCCACGGCUAACUACGCUG
rnacentral:rRNA from 1 species